rnacentral:rRNA from 1 species
CCUACGGGGAGCAGCAGUGGGGGAUAUUGCACAAUGGGGGAAACCCUGAUGCAGCGACGCCGCGUGAGUGAAGAAGCGCCUCGGCGCGUAAAGCCCUGUCAGCAGGGAAGAAAAUGACGGUACCUGAAGAAGAAGCCCCGGCUAACUACGUGCCAGCAGCCGCGGUAAUACGUAGGGGGCAAGCGCUAUCCGGAUUUACUGGGUGUAAAGGGGGCGCAGACGGCGAUGCAAGCCAGGAGGGAAAGCCCGGGGCCCAACCCCGGGACUGCUCUUGGAACUGGGUGGCUAGAGUGCAGGAGGGGCAGGCGGAAUUCCUGGUGUAGCGGUGAAAUGCGUAGAUAUCAGGAGGAACACCGGUGGCGAAGGCGGCCUGCUGGACUGCAACUGACGUUGAGGCCCGAAAGCGUGGGGAGCAAACAGGAUUAGAUACCCUUGUAGUC